UGUCCGGACAGGGAGGAGGGUCAGGACUCUAUAAAAUCUCACCUGAAUGUCUCACUGUACUGUGACUGAAACAAAGUAAUCCAACAUGUUUUCCUUCAAAAUGCUCCUCUUUGCUGUGGCUCUGCUGGCUGUUCCUGUGGAGUCUGUAUUUAGAGAGAGGGAGAGGGACUACGUGCCCAACCAUUAUGAGGACCCAGCGAAAUGGUCAUGUAUAAAGAACGGCCAGAUUUACCUCGUUGUUCACCGGAUUUUGACGAUUUUGGUGUAGAUUCAUUUGAUCUAGACUACGAUUCUCCAGUUGUAAUGCGUGCUGACAGGGUGGUAACGACCAGUAAGAUCCCUCAGAUUCUGCGUAUGGACCAAUCAGCCACUUUGGAGUCAGAGUGACACUCGAGGAUGGAUCUCAGUGGCUCAUCCAUAAAGGAAACGUCAACGGCACAGACCCUCAGAUGUUGGUGAG